rnacentral:rRNA from 1 species
AUUGAACGCUGGCGGCAGGCCUAACACAUGCAAGUCGAACGGUAACAGGAAGAAGCUUGCUUCUUUGCUGACGAGUGGCGGACGGGUGAGUAAUGUCUGGGAAACUGCCUGAUGGAGGGGGAUAACUACUGGAAACGGUAGCUAAUACCGCAUAACGUCGCAAGACCAAAGAGGGGGACCUUCGGGCCUCUUGCCAUCGGAUGUGCCCAGAUGGGAUUAGCUAGUAGGUGGGGUAACGGCUCACCUAGGCGACGAUCCCUAGCUGGUCUGAGAGGAUGACCAGCCACACUGGAACUGAGACACGGUCCAGACUCCUACGGGAGGCAGCAGUGGGGAAUAUUGCACAAUGGGCGCAAGCCUGAUGCGGCCAUGCCGCGUGUAUGAAGAAGGCCUUCGGGUUGUAAAGUACUUUCAGCGGGGAGGAAGGGAGUAAAGUUAAUACCUUUGCUCAUUGACGUUACCCGCAGAAGAAGCACCGGCUAACUCCGU